AGAUUGUAUGAUUUCCAUGCCUAAGGAAACCCCAGUGCCUUUUAUCACCCGCAGUGACACACAUUCUCUCUCUGAUCUGUAGAACCAGGAUCCAUCCCACAUACUUGCUGGAUUGAUUUCUUAAGUCUCUUGGAAGCAAUUUGUUCCAGGUAUCAUGUUUGGAGUCCCUGACCCGGUGUUUCCCGGAGAUGAUAGCCUGAGGGACAAGAGUGGAGCUCUUUGGCAGUGUACUACCCUGUGCCUGUAACCUGCCUCAAGACAUGAAGUGUGGUCACCGUAUAAUUCAUUAUCCAAACUUAUCCCAAGGGGGCCACUGUGGAGAGAAGAAGAGCUUUUACAAGCAGCCAGACAACAGGUGUCCUGGGUAGGAACCCUCUGGUAGCCACGGUGUUUCCAGCUCUGGGGUGCUGCUUCCCCAGUGGACAUUUGGCAAUGUCUGAAGAACUUUUUGGUUGUCACACCUACAUAUCCUCAUGCACAGAGAUAUGAAUGAGUCUCUAAAAGGCAAGCCUGAAGAUGGGAAGUUUAACGACCCUAAAGUCAGUGGUUUUUUCUGAUGCAACUGCCUUUGAGUCACCCAUACACUUAGUCUUCAUCCAGUAGCUGAUGGAAGCAGAAGCAGACACCCACAGCUAAACACUGAGCUAAACUCCUGGAAUCCAGUUGCAGAGAGAAAGGACUGAUGAGCAAAGGGGUCAAGACCAGGCUGGAGAAACCCAUGGAAACAGCUGACCUGAACAAGGGGGAGCUCAUGGACCCCAGACUGACAGCUGGGAAACCAGCAUAGGACCAAACCAGGCUCCUUGAACAUGGGUGUCAGGAGGCUUGGGCAGUCUAUGGGGCUUCUGGUAGUGGAA
rnacentral:lncRNA from 1 species